AAAAAAAAAAUCACGAUCUGCAUGCAAUGCAAGUGGUGAGUCCAAUGCCUAUUUUAAAUUUUUUCAUAGGGUAACUUGCAAAUUGUGAAGUUGGGGGAAGACUUUUUGUCUGACGCAAAGUGUAUUUAUUUAACAAUUACUUGUUAACUUGAGUAUAAAUUACGAACAUUUAUACUAUUCAAAGUGCAUAUUUAAAUGUAGUAAUAGCACCACUCAGUAAACGAAGGUGAACUGUCAACGUUAUUUUAUAUUUCAGUUGGCGAAAAAUAAGCGCGCACACCGUUUAAAAUGGCGGAAUAGCACCGCCCAAUGAGCUAACGUGAACUGUCGACAUUUUAUAUUUCAGCCGCCGAUUUAGCGCGCCCGCUCUUCAACUUGUGAUGCUUAGUGCAAACCUUUGGCACCUGCUAACUCCACUUCUCUUUUCGAGGUAAGUCUGUUUGACAACACGGUUCUACACUAAAAGUACAUUUUUACAGAAUCAGUAUUAGCGAUGUUGAGUUGCAAUUUCUGUGGCAAGUCAGUCAAAUCAUUGAGGGCUUAUGUAAUACAUUGCAAACUUCACCGAAAUGAACCGCGUUUAUUUAAGUGCUUUGCAGCCGAAUGCAAACAGACUUUCUGUACAUAUGCAUCGCUUAAGGCUCAUUUUUACAGAAAACAUAACGUAAAUGCGCCUGUUAACGUUGCUGUCGGGACAGAUGUUAUGCCUAUUAAAUGUGCAAUGGCGUUAUGUGAUCGACAGUGUGAAGAUGCUAAAUCUCUAAUAGCACACUUGAAAGACCACAUUGUAGAAGGACGUGUUGUGAGUUGUCCAGUAAGAGGAUGCACAGAUGCUUUUAAAGUUAAAUCUUCCUUUACCUCCCACAUGUCACGGAAACACAAACAUUUCACAGAAAGCACAAUUAGUGACUUGUACAGAGACUCGUCGGCUUAUCAGUCAUCUUCACAAUCUGUAACAACCGAAUUAACGUCACAUGACUGUGGCCAUGAAUUUGAAUGUGAUGUAGAUACAUCCGACGAUUUCAACGAUCUUUUUCUUAAAAAUAUUUGUUUAUUUUACUUAAAACUGCAAGGGCAGCUCUUAGUGCCUGAUUCAACCACACAGAACAUUGUUGAGGAGAUUCAAAAUAUACACGAGUUGGGUCAGACAUAUACUUUAAGUAAACUUGCUUCACAGCUAAAGAAUGAAACAUCCUUAACAGAAGAUGAGAUCACCAAAAUUUGUCAGUCUGUCAAGGAAUCUGAUCUGUUUUCUGCAUGUCAUACAGGGCCAAUGAGGACUGCACACACAAGAGCUCAGUGUUUCAAAAAAAAUUUCAAUUAUGUGGAGCCUAAGACUGUUUUGUUAGGAAGGGAUGAGAACAGAAAAGAUAGGUUUGCCUAUUAUGUGCCAGUCAAAGAGACUUUAAAAUGCUUAUUGCAGUCUGAUAUGUGGCAGGAUUGUAUGUCUGAGGAGCACCCCACUGACACACCCACAGAUGUUUUAACUGAUGUUACUGAUGGCCAGAUGUUCAAAUCAAAUGACUUUUUUGUUCAGAAUCCAUCAGGCCUAAAACUAGUACUGUAUCAGGAUGCAUUCGAAGUUGUUAAUCCUUUAGGCUCUGCAAAGACAAGACAUAAAAUAUUAGCUGUUUAUUUAUCUGUAGCUAAUUUGCCACUUCAUGUAAGGUCAGACACAAACCACAUGUCACUUGUUUUAUUGUGCAGAGAAAAAGAUUUUAAAGAAUUUGGGCAUGCUAAGGUGUUCUCUAAUUUACUAGCAGACUUAAAGUAUUUGGAGGAGAAUGGAAUUCCUGUUUCAGAUGAAACCGUAGUAAAAGGAACGGUCUAUUGCAUUGCCGGCGAUAAUUUAGGAUCCCACUGCAUUGGUGGGUUCUCUGAAAAUUUCAGCCGUGCAGAACAUUUCUGUAGAUAUUGUCUAAUUACUCGAUCUGAAUUUCAGGGUGAUCCAAAUCUGUGUGGACCAGCCCGGACAAUUCAAAACUAUAACUCAGCAAUUGACCGCAUCCAAGCAGAAGGAGCACAAGACGUGGAAGGAGUAAAAUUCAGAAUGGAUGACGUAGAGCCAAGCAACAUAAGCAGUGCCAUUACUAAUGUGUUACCAGACCUACCAACCUCAAAUCUAAAUAUUGUAUUGGAGACAUUACAAUCUUUAGGUGUGGGAGCCACUGAAGAUUUACAGUAUAUUAAGGAAGCUGAUCUGCUCACAGUACUGAGACCAGUUCAAGCUAGAAAACUGUUGGCUGCAUGGAAACAAUCCACAGAGACAACUGAAUUCCAUAGUCAGUCAACAUUGACCUCUCCAGUGUCCUCAGCCUGCUCCUCAGUCUCACUGUCUUCCUCACCCUCACCCUCACCAUCACCCAGACACAUGAUUGCUACUGCAGAUUGGGUCGACAGCUUCCAGAUUCCAUGGGAGAAGCUCCCAGAAGCCUUAAUGCAGAGUUUGGAGAGAGGGAAAAGGCCAAGCUCAAAGUUACGCAGAGAACUGAUCCGAAUUGUAGUUGCUGAAAUGAUGCAUGCCUCUUCUUCUCCUGGUAAACAAUCCUCCACAGAGGUUGCGAAGAAAAUGGUAGCAAAGUAUCCACUGUCACUGCAAGAUGUUAUAGAAGGUGAUGUGGUAGGAACAGGAUAUCACUCACUCGUCAAGCAGCUGCAAGCACGAAUUGAAAAUGUAAAGCGGUCUUCAGUACCAAGAAUAUUGAAGCGCAGACGGGGGUCAGAUGAAUUUGACACAGAUGAAAUCACAGCUGAACAGAGGGCAGCUGUUCAGGACACAUAUGGCUGCAUAAAGUGGGAAAUGAAGUUUAUGCCAGUGAGUGAGACACUGGAAAGCCAAGAAGAGAAAAAAGAGAAAAUGAAAGUGAUAUUUGAACAGGCAACCUUCAACACAGAGGAGGUAAAACAUCUCAUGAAGUGCACAUACUUCUCCCAGCGUAAAUCAGUGAACAGUGGAACCGAUCUGCAAUUCCUCAUGCAAGAGUGGCCUUUCUUAUUCAAGGAAGUUGGCAUGGCAGUUCACUUUCAUGAAUUAACUGGUGUUUCCCUGAAAGAGACUUUCCUCAGUAAUGUUGAAAAAAAAGGAAAACGAGUUUUAGAUUUCAUGAGAAGUGUUUGUGCAGAAAAAAGCAAACAUGUUUUGCAAGCGGCCACAAAGCUGAAAAUUCUGAGAGGACAGCUGGAGGGCUGCUCAGAAGAUGUAAAAGAUCUGGUGCUCCUCAUCCUCUCCUACUUUAAUGAAAAAGAGGAGGACUUGUUCUUCUAUGUGGAAGAAACUUGUAUGGCAAAAGAAGUACAAGUGGAAGGCUUACCUGUGACUCCAUGCAUCAUUGUAUGCGGAACAUCAUGUUAUGCUGCAAAGCAUUUCAUGCUGAGUGUUGACCAGAAAAUUGUCAACGAAUACAUCUCCACCUUCAUCUCGGCUGUUUGCAUGAUGUUUGCAACCUACUACUGCCUCAACAUUCACUAUCCUGUGGGUCUGGGCUCCACACUUGAGUUUAUUCAGAGGUGUUUCUUCAACAUCAAUCCUGAGAAGGGCACAAAAGUGGAAACUAAGAAAAACAAGAAACAGCUAACAGUGAAUCCAAGAGUCCUCACACUCAUUGCAGAUCUCUCAGAUCAUGAGUGGAGAGAGGCAUGUUAAAUAUGGACUUUCAGUUCACAUCAUUUGAAGUGUUAACACAACACGUAUACACCACUAAUUGAGUUUUCAGUUUACCUUAUCUGUUAACCACCAACAAAGAAAGUACGCUUUUAGUAUUUGGGUUAAUGAUAAUGUUUUAUUGAGCAUUGUUUUUGUUUAAUUGGUAAACUGGCUUAUUCCAGAUUUUGUUAAAAGUACAAUGUAACAGACAUUUUUGUUAAAGGCUGCAUUUGUUCCAUUUUUUUUCUAGUUUUCAUUGAGGGAAAGAGCAAAUUUAUAUACUAAAUUAAUUUUUCUAAAGAUGUUACAAAACAAAUUCAUUAUACUCCCUGCACAUAGUGUUAUAUGCUUAUGAUUUUGGCAUUUAUAAUUAUUAUUAAUUUAUUUUUUUUGUUUCAAAAUAUUCUGGUACUAGCAAGGAGUUCAGAGUGUUUGGCUGAUUACAUGCGGAGUUUAAUAAACCUUUUGGAAAAUGCUUUCCAGACACCUUUUUUUCAGUGAUUAUUGUGACACUUCAGAUUAAGUUAAUGACUGGUGGGAUUGCUAAAAUCUAAGAAUCUACGUAAAAGUAAGUAAACUAAACACUUGAGAAUAUUUAUGUAAUUAUUUUUACACAAAACAGCAUGUGUAAACACAUUCUAUAAGCUAAAUAUUGCAUAUUGUGUAAAAUUAAAGCUUUUAUCUUCUAACACAUUUCAGGCACUGCAUUCAACCUUCACUAGAUGAUGACUUCAAGGAAACACAUUUCUGGACAAAAAGUGUUAAUUAAUACUUUUUUUUUAAUAAUGUUUAUUUUUUUAAAAAUUUCACUUUUAAUGAGACAUUUUUGUUGUAUCCACUUUAUUGAACAGCAACACUAAAGUUCAUCAGGAAACAAUGGAAAGAGAUCAGGAUUGCAACUUUGGUUGCUGCAAUAACGGUAUGUGUUGUGUUGAACUUGUUGAGCGGCUUGUGAAGCACAGCUGUUGUUUUUCCCUAAAUGUAGCCAUUUAUUUAGUACAUGUAGUGUGCAUACUGCUUUUAAAAGAGUGAAAGAUAUGCUUGAAACAUUUUUGUCUUAUUUAGGACAAUAUAUUUUCUUAUGUCUGCCAGAGUUUGAACACAAGGACUCUCUUUUCCUGACAAGUCUCUAUUUGGAUAAGAGACCUUUCAAGUAUAAAUUUGGGUAAGUUUUGUUGAUUAUUAAACAUCAAUUUAAAAGUACUAAUUACCUAUUUAACUCUUGCUUUACCUUACACAGAUGAGCAAUUCGGUGCUUCCAACUUUGCAGAAACGGGGUGUGGCCAGGCUCUAAGCUUCAAGAGGACCUUCUAAAAGUUCCGGUUUUCUGAACAUUGUAUCCUGUGUGUAAGAGACCUCUCUUCAGUCAAGUCUGGACCCAGUCAGACGCCAGUCUUAAGGAUAAUUGAUGAGAGAUCAUGCCAGUCCAUAUUGAAAUAGUGACUACAUGCAAGACUUCAGGCAGUACUACAUUUCAAGUUUGGAACAUACACAGUCCUGUGUCUUCCGUCAAGUGUGGGCUCAAUACUAUUGUUCAACCAGAGCAAGCAGCCCUGAUGGAUGUACAGUAUAUGUCUUCAUUGAUUAUCCUUACUUUUAUAUAUGGACACAUUUUAUUUCCAACAUCAACACGCCUUUGUGAGUACACUGGUCAAGUUAUUGGAUCAGCUCAAACUGUUUUAACACAGUCCCUGUAUGUAGUUUCAUUAAAAUCUAAUAAUUAUAGUUUGUGCCUUCAGUUGCUAUAGACUGUAUUUACUAGUUCAUUUUGCAAUUCAAAAACCUGAUUGAUUGUUGUAAAAUCUGUGGCAAACAACUGUAAUGUCUUUUGUGUUUUACCGUGUUUUUUACGGUAAAGUUCUGGCAACCACAGCUGCCGGUAAUUUUCUGUAAAACUGAACUUUACAAUAAAAUACUAUUAUAUUUAAUACAGUUGUUUUAUGUUUAUUACGGAAAUAGAAUGUAGUUAGUUUUACAGUAUAUUUAUUAUACACAGUAGUUUACUGUAAAGGAAUUUACACUUACGACUGCUAUUUUUAAAGUAAUUUACUGUAAACAUGUUUACAAUACAUUUGUUUUAUUUAACAGAAAUUUACUGUAAACAUACAGCAGUUUUCAACUGUAAAAUUUACAGAUCAUCAAAAAGUAUUCUGUAAAGCAUUGCACGUUGCAACCUUAUAUUUUACGGUGAACUUCUGGCAACCACAGCUGCCGGUAUUUUACCGUAUAUUUCACC